rnacentral:rRNA from 1 species
CAGUAGCCGCGGUAAUACGUAGGGGGCAAGCGUUAUCCGGAAUUACUGGGUGUAAAGGGAGCGUAGACGGUUAAACAAGUCUGAAGUGAAAUGCCGGGGCUCAACCCCGGAGCUGCUUUGGGAACUGUAGAACUGGAGUGUCGGAGGGGUAAGCGGAAUUCCCAGUGUAGCGGUGAAAUGCGUAGAUAUUGGGAGGAACACCGGCGGCGAAGGCGGCUUACUGGACGACAACUGACGUUGAGGCUCGAAGGCGUGGGUAGCAAACUGGAUUAGAUACCCGCGUAGUCCCUGUCUCUUAUAC